rnacentral:rRNA from 1 species
UACGUAGGGUGCAAGCGUUAUCCGGAAUUAUUGGGCGUAAAGAGCUCGUAGGCGGUUUGUCGCGUCUGCCGUGAAAGUCCGGGGCUCAACUCCGGAUCUGCGGUGGGUACGGGCAGACUAGAGUGCAGUAGGGGAGACUGGAAUUCCUGGUGUAGCGGUGAAAUGCGCAGAUAUCAGGAGGAACACCGAUGGCGAAGGCAGGUCUCUGGGCCAAUACUGACGCUCAUGCACGAAAGCGUGGGGAGCAAACAGG